rnacentral:rRNA from 1 species
GUGGGGAAUAUUGGACAAUGGGCGCAAGCCUGAUCCAGCCAUGCCGCGUGAGUGAUGAAGGCCCUAGGGUUGUAAAGCUCUUUCAGUGGGGACGAUAAUGACGGUACCCACAGAAGAAGCCCCGGCUAACUUCGUGCCAGCAGCCGCGGUAAUACGAAGGGGGCUAGCGUUGUUCGGAUUUACUGGGCGUAAAGCGCACGUAGGCGGAUCGUUAAGUCGAGGGUGAAAUCCUGGAGCUCAACUCCAGAACUGCCUUCGAUACUGGCGAUCUUGAGUCCAGAAGAGGUGAGUGGAACUCCUAGUGUAGAGGUGGAAUUCGUAGAUAUUAGGAAGAACACCAGUGGCGAAGGCGGCUCACUGGUCCGGUACUGACGCUGAGGUGCGAAAGCGUGGGGAGCAAACAGGAUUAGAAACCCUUGUAGUCC